CUACCUGCUCGUAAAAUGCAAACGAAUCAAAUUUUCAUUCAUUAAAACACGCUGCGUUGCGUAACCAACAUUAGUAUGUGUGUUUGUGUUUGCUGAAGAGGCACCCGACAGAAAGUCAUCUAUUAGCAUUGUGUUGUGGUGUUGGUGCGUGCUGAACCGACGCAGGAAGAACUAAAUUAAAGCCAAAGCCGGACUUGUACUCAUUGAUACAUAGUCUACAUUUACUACAAUGUAAAUCUCAUUCUCAUUCAAAAUAGCAAAAAUUAAAAUAGGCACUAAUUUAGUUCCCUCGGUAGUAGUUUUCACGCAGGUGUUCUGACUUUCCGGCGCUGGAAUAAAUUAAACAGGUUAUGUGAUGAUGUGCAGUUUAUUCACGCCAUCUGGGGAGAAAAAUGGAGUUUUAUUUAUGCUGGUAAAAUUGAAGUGGACAAAAAACGUGACGCAGUAAACGGCGGAGAUAACUCUUCGAGCGGUGCUCCAACACAAACACGAAACCGGAUUGUCACUUUUGUUGACCAUAAAAACACCUGCAUCGGAUCCUCGGCCAGGGCGAGACCAUAUAAGGCGGAGUAAGCGCCCAAGACGUCUUCGGCGUGCCACUAGAAGAUCUCGGCGUCUCCGCAUCUA